rnacentral:rRNA from 1 species
UGGGGAAUUUUGGACAAUGGGCGAAGCCUGAUCCAGCAAUGCCGCGUGUGUGAAGAAGGCCUUCGGGUUGUAAAGCACUUUUGUCCGGAAAGAAAUCCUUGGCUCUAAUACAGUCGGGGGAUGACGGUACCGGAAGAAUAAGCACCGGCUAACUACGUGCCAGCAGCCGCGGUAAUACGUAGGGUGCAAGCGUUAAUCGGAAUUACUGGGCGUAAAGCGUGCGUAGGCGGUUUGCUAAGACCGAUGUGAAAUCCCCGGGCUCAACCUGGGAACUGCAUUGGUGACUGGCAGGCUAGAGUAUGGCAGAGGGGGGUAGAAUUCCACGUGUAGCAGUGAAAUGCGUAGAGAUGUGGAGGAAUACCGAUGGCGAAGGCAGCCCCCUGGGCCAAUACUGACGCUCAUGCACGAAAGCGUGGGGAGCAAACAGGAUUAGAUACCCUGGUAGUCCACGCCCUAAACGAUGUCAACUAGUUGUUGGGGAUUCAUUUCCUUAGUAACGUAGCUAACGCGUGAAGUUGACCGCCUGGGGAGUACGGUCGCAAGAUUAAAACUCAAAUGAAUUGACGGGGUCAUAGCUGUUUCCU